GACGAACGCUGGCGGCGUGCUUAACACAUGCAAGUCGAACGAAGAGCGAUGGAAGCUUGCUUCUAUCAAUCUUAGUGGCGAACGGGUGAGUAACGCGUAAUCAACCUGCCCUUCAGAGGGGGACAACAGUUGGAAACGACUGCUAAUACCGCAUACGAUCUAACCUCGGCAUCGAGGAUGGAUGAAAGGUGGCCUCUAUUUAUAAGCUAUCACUGAAGGAGGGGAUUGCGUCUGAUUAGCUAGUUGGAGGGGUAACGGCCCACCAAGGCGAUGAUCAGUAGCCGGUCUGAGAGGAUGAACGGCCACAUUGGGACUGAGACACGGCCCAGACUCCUACGGGAGGCAGCAGUGGGGAAUCUUCCGCAAUGGACGAAGGUCUGACGGAGCAACGCCGCGUGAGUGAUGACGGCCUUCGGGUUGUAAAGCUCUGUUAAUCGGGACGAAAGGCCUUCUUGCGAAUAGUUAGAAGGAUUGACGGUACCGGAAUAGAAAGCCACGGCUAACUACGUG
rnacentral:rRNA from 1 species